rnacentral:rRNA from 1 species
GAUGAACGCUGGCGGCGUGCCUAAUACAUGCAAGUCGAGCGAAUGGAUUAAGAGCUUGCUCUUAUGAAGUUAGCGGCGGACGGGUGAGUAACACGUGGGUAACCUGCCCAUAAGACUAGGAUAACUCCGGGAAACCGGGGCUAAUACCGGAUAACAUUUUGCACCGCAUGGUUCGAAAUUGAAAGGCGGCUUCGGCUGUCACUUAUGGAUGGACCCGCGUCGCAUUAGCUAGUUGGUGAGGUAACGGCUCACCAAGGCAACGAUGCGUAGCCGACCUGAGAGGGUGAUCGGCAACACUGGGACUGAGACACGGCCCAGACUCCUACGGGAGGCAGCAGUAGGGAAUCUUCCGCAAGGGACGAAAGUCUGACGGAGCAACGCCGCGUGAGUGAUGAAGGCUUUCGGGUCGUAAAACUCUGUUGUUAGGGAAGAACAAGUGCUAGUUGAAUAAGCUGGCACCUUGACGGUUCCUAACCAGAAAGCCACGGCUAACUACGUGCCAGCCGCCGCCGUAA